GGGAAACUGACGGUACCUGCAGAAUAAGCACNGGCUAAAUAACGUGCCAGCAGCCGCGGUAAUACGUAGGGUGCAAGCGUUAAUCGGAAUUACUGGGCGUAAAGCGUGCGCAGGCGGUUCGGAAAGAAAGAUGUGAANUCCCAGAGCUUAACUUUGGAACUGCAUUUUUAACUACCGAGNUAGAGUGUGUCAGAGGGAGGUGGAAUUCCGCGUGUAGCAGUGAAAUGCGUAGAUAUGCGGAGGAACACCGAUGGCGAAGGCANCUUCNUGGGAUAACACUGACGNUCAUGCACGAAAGCGUGGGGAGCAAACAGGAUUAGAUACCNUGGUGNUCCACNCCCUAAGCGAUNUCAANUAGCUGUUGGNCCUUUCGNCCNUUGGUAGCGCAGCUAACGCGUGAAGUUGACC
rnacentral:rRNA from 1 species